GACGAACGCUGGCGGCGUGCUUAACACAUGCAAGUCGAACGAUGAAACCUAGCUUGCUAGGUCGAUUAGUGGCGAACGGGUGAGUAACACGUGACUAACCUGCCCCUUUCUCUGGGAUAACGCUCCGAAAGGAGUGCUAAUACCGGAUACUCACACCGAGGCACAUGCCUUGGUGUGGAAAGUUUUUCGGAAAGGGAUGGAGUCGCGGCCUAUCAGCUUGUUGGUGAGGUAACGGCUCACCAAGGCGACGACGGGUAGCCGACCUGAGAGGGCGACCGGCCACACUGGGACUGAGACACGGCCCAGACUCCUACGGGAGGCAGCAGUGGGGAAUAUUGCACAAUGGGCGCAAGCCUGAUGCAGCGACGCCGCGUGAGGGAUGAAGGUCUUCGGAUUGUAAACCUCUUUCAGUAGGGACGAAGCGAAAGUGACGGUACCUAAAGAAGAAGCACCGGCUAACUACGUGCCAGCCGCCGCUGUAA
rnacentral:rRNA from 1 species